AGUGCGGUCUCUUCCCCCCGGUACACACUCGAAUGCCCCGGCCCAGCUUUCUCCCCGACGUCUGCCCACACCGCCCCGGGCCAGAGCUCCGCUCCUUCUGCUGCGGCGCGCGCCCCCCGCCUCUCGUUUUAUAGCAGCCACGCCCCUUUCCCUCCCCGCCCCUCUCCGCCCCUCCUCUCCCUCCGUCCGGGGGAGGGCGCGCGCCCAUGCCCGCCCGGAGAGCGUCACUCGGCUCCAGACUUCGUAGCCAUUCUCCGCCCCGAAACCUCACAACCCCUAGGGCUAGCGCUCCUCACUCCACCCCUGCCCUGCCCCCUCCAGCCAUUGGUCAGGUCCCACCUGCCAAUCUGCUGCCGUAAGAGGAGCACGGAGGAGUUGGGGAGGGUGGGGUUUGGAGGGGGUUUGGAGGGAGGAGUUAGGACACACCCCAUGGUGCUCGAGAUUUGGCCAAUGAGCCGACGUUCUGGAAUGAACAGGGGCGGGGGAGGAGGGUUUUUGAAGCGGGAUUGGACAGAAGGAGUGCCACAGUCAGUUCAUCUCCUCCUGGCAACCCCAGAAGCAAAAGCAUUGGCUUGGGAUGACUUUGGCCUUGGAGAUGAGCGGAGGAGGACAUUUCUUUUUUCAAAUGUCAAACCCAGCCCCCCCUGCACUCAAGGAAUGGGGACGCCGAGUGCUGUUCUGCUGGAUGGCCUGUCUGAGUAUUUUUAUACAAGCACCAGUAUUAGAAAUGUCUUUUUAAUCUCUGUGCACAUAAUAAACAGACGGUAUCGCCCUGUCAUGCCCUGUAUUGUAUUACCAGCCUGUUCCUUUAAGACCUUUUUCAGUUGAAGUGUGUAAGGCGAAAAAAAAAUUGGGGAGGGGAAAAGGAGUGAUUGGAGGGGGUGAGGGUAAACAGGGAGGUGGGCCUUCUUCACAACCUGCGGCAGAGAAAUGUAUGAAGUUACAGAGGGAGUGGAACUGCCCCCCCCUUGCUAAAAAUAUUGCUCACAGGUAGCAACGAUGUCUGAUUGGCCACACUUUCCCCUUAGCAACCCGGCAAUUGGUUGUUUGGUAUCUAGGAGGAAUACGUAAAACUCCAGUUUGGAAAAGGGGAGAAAGAAGAAAGGGGAGGGAGCAAGGGUUGGGGGGAGACACAAGGAAGGAGUAGGGAGAGAGAGAGAGAGAGAUGGGAGGAGGAGGAGGAGAGAAAAGGGAGGGGGACACAAGGAAGGAGAAAGAAGGGGGAGCAAGGGGGAGCAAGGAGGAGGAGCGGGGAGAAGGGAGGAGGGCACAAGGAAAGGGAAGAGUGAGAGAAGGAAGGAGAGGAGGAAAGAGGGGAGAAAGAAGAGGAAGAAAAAGGACACGGAAUAAGAAGGGAGGGAGGAAGGGGAGGAGGAAAAGAGAAAAAGGAGGGCGAGAGCAGGGAAGGAAUGAAGCAGUGAAUGAAAACGCCCAGCUUUCUAAAGUCUCCGGAUGGAUUCCUUUCCAAAGCACUUAAGGGGCCACGGGUGGGAAAAAAAAGUCACGGGGCCACCUUCCCCCAGAAACUUCAAGAGCACCCCCAGCUUGUUUCAAGGAAAGUAGACAAGCAACUAACCUACAAGUUGUAUAUCCUGAGAACAGGCAUGACGACAGUUGCUGGAGCUCCAAGGCAACAACUCUCUUAACGAAUCAAGCCCAGAGGCUUUUAAUUUCACGGACAUAAAGUCUGAACCCAGUAUUCUCUCCCACCCUUGUCCAUUCUCCCCUUCUCAUUAUUAUUAUUGUUAUUAUUAUUUUUUAGAAGGUGUAUUGCCAGAAGAGAUGGAAGAAUAUUUUCUUCUAAAGCUGAGUGUGUGUGGGUGUGGGG
rnacentral:lncRNA from 1 species